CGGAACUUAUAAGGCAGCGUGCUGCCGAAAUCGUCUGCAAUCCGGACAGCCGCACAUAUGCGGUGACGACACUUCUCUUCUGCCGUCGCAUGACGGCUCCUCA
rnacentral:ncRNA from 1 species